UGCCAUUAAUGGGUAAUACUGGGCCUCGA
rnacentral:piRNA from 1 species